GAUGAACGCUGGCGGCGUGCCUAAUACAUGCAAGUCGAGCGAACGGACGAGAAGCUUGCUUCUCUGAUGUUAGCGGCGGAAGGGUGAGUAACACGUGGAGAACCUACCUAUAAGACUGGGAUAACUUCGGGAAACCGGAGCUAAAACCGGAUAAUAUUUGGAACCGCAUGGUUCAAAAGUGAAAGACGGUCUUGCUGUCACUUAUAGAUGGAACCGCGCUGCAUUAGCUAGUUGGUAAGGUAACGGCUUACGAAGGCAACGAUGCAUAGCCGACCUGAGAGGGUGAUCGGCCACACUGGAACUGAGACACGGUCCAGACUCCUACGGGAGGCAGCAGUAGGGAAUCUUCCGCAAUGGGCGAAAUCCUGACGGAGCAACGCCGCGUGAGUGAUGAAGGGCUUCGGAUCGUAAAACUCUGUUAUUAGGGAAGAACAUUUGUGUAAGUAACUGUGCUCAUCUUGACGGUACCUAAUCAGAAAGCCACGGCUAACUACGUG
rnacentral:rRNA from 1 species